rnacentral:rRNA from 1 species
AUUGAACGCUGCGGCAGGCUUAACACAUGCAAGUCGAGCGAGCGGCGGACGGGUGAGUAAUGCUUAGGAAUCUGCCUAUUAGUGGGGGAAAACGUCUCGAAAUGGCUGCUAAUACCGCAUACUAAUAGAUGAGACUAAGGCGUAUUAGCUAUGUGGUGGGGUAAAGGCCUACCAAGGCGACGAUCUGUAGCGGGUCUGAGAGGAUGAUCCGCCACACUGGGACUGAGACACGGCCCAGACUCCUACGGGAGGCAGCAGUGGGGAAUAUUGCACAAUGGGGGCAAGCCUGAUGCAGCCAUGCCGCGUGUGGGAAGAAGGCCUUCGGGUUGUAAAGCACUUUCAGCGGGGAGGCGUUACCCGCAGAAGAAGCACCGGCUAACUCCGUGCCAGCAGCCGCGGUAAUAC